rnacentral:rRNA from 1 species
AGAGUUUGAUCCUGGCUCAGAAUGAACGCUGGCGGCGUGCCUGAUACAUGCAAGUCGAGCGCGAAAGUGGCCUUCGGGCCGCGAGUAGAGCGGCGAACGGGUGAGUAACACGUGGGUAACCUGCCUUGGAGUGGGGAAUAACUUGGGGAAACCCGAGCUAAUGCCGCAUACGCUCGCCAGACCUUCGGGCCUGGCGAGGAAAGGUGGCCUAUUCUUGAAAGCUGCCGUUCCAAGAGGGGCCCGCGCCCGAUUAGCUAGUUGGUGAGGUAACGGCUCACCAAGGCGACGAUCGGUAGCCGGCCUGAGAGGGUGAUCGGCCACACUGGAACUGAGACACGGUCCAGACCGCUACGGUGGGCAGCAGUACGGGAUAUCGCGCAAUGGGCGAAAGCCUGACGCGGCAACGCCGCGUGAAGGAUGAAGGCCUUCGGGUCGUAAACUUCUGUCAGGCGGGACGAACGAGCGGCGGNGAAUACCCGCCGUCUCUUGACGGU